rnacentral:rRNA from 1 species
UUAAGCGACUAAGCGUACACGGUGGAUGCCCUGGCAGUCAGAGGCGAUGAAGGACGUGCUAAUCUGCGAAAAGCGUCGGUAAGGUGAUAUGAACCGUUAUAGCCGGCGAUGUCCGAAUGGGGAAACCCAGUGCAAUUCGUUGCACUAUCGUUAACUGAAUACAUAGGUUAACGAGGCGAACCGGGGGAACUGAAACAUCUAAGUACCCCGAGGAAAAGAAAUCAACCGAGAUUCCCCCAGUAGCGGCGAGCGAACGGGGAGCAGCCCGGAGUCUGAAUCAGCUUGUGUGUUAGUGGAAGCGUCUGGAAAGUCGCAGGGUACAGGGUGAUACUCCCGUACACUAAAACGCACAGGUUGUGAACUCGAAGAGUAGGGCGGGACACGUGGUAUCCUGUCUGAAUAUGGGGGGACCAUCCUCCAAGGCUAAAUACUCCUGACUGACCGAUAGUGAACCAGUACCGUGAGGGAAAGGCGAAAAGAACCCCGGCGAGGGGAGUGAAAAAGAACCUGAAACCGUGUACGUACAAGCAGUAGGAGCCCACUAGUUGGGUGACUGCGUACCUUUUGUAUAAUGGGUCAGCGACUUAUAUUCUGUAGCAAGGUUAACCGUAUAGGGGAGCCGCAGGGAAACCGAGUCUUAACUGGGCGUUAAGUUGCAGGGUAUAGACCCGAAACCCGGUGAUCUAGCCAUGGGCAGGUUGAAGGUUGGGUAACACUAACUGGAGGACCGAACCGACUAAUGUUGAAAAAUUAGCGGAUGACUUGUGGCUGGGGGUGAAAGGCCAAUCAAACCGGGAGAUAGCUGGUUCUCCCCGAAAGCUAUUUAGGUAGCGCCUCGUGAACUCAUCUUCGGGGGUAGAGCACUGUUUCGGCUAGGGGGUCAUCCCGACUUACCAACCCGAUGCAAACUACGAAUACCGAAGAAUGUUAUCACGGGAGACACACGGCGGGUGCUAACGUCCGUCGUGAAGAGGGAAACAACCCAGACCGCCAGCUAAGGUCCCAAAGUCAUGGUUAAGUGGGAAACGAUGUGGGAAGGCCCAGACAGCCAGGAUGUUGGCUUAGAAGCAGCCAUCAUUUAAAGAAAGCGUAAUAGCUCACUGGUCGAGUCGGCCUGCGCGGAAGAUGUAACGGGGCUAAACCAUGCACCGAAGCUGCGGCAGCGACACUAUGUGUUGUUGGGUAGGGGAGCGUUCUGUAAGCCGUUGAAGGUGGCCUGUGAGGGUUGCUGGAGGUAUCAGAAGUGCGAAUGCUGACAUAAGUAACGAUAAUGCGGGUGAAAAACCCGCACGCCGGAAGACCAAGGGUUCCUGUCCAACGUUAAUCGGGGCAGGGUGAGUCGACCCCUAAGGCGAGGCCGAAAGGCGUAGUCGAUGGGAAACAGGUUAAUAUUCCUGUACUCGGUGUUACUGCGAAGGGGGGACGGAGAAGGCUAUGUUGGCCGGGCGACGGUUGUCCCGGUUUAAGCAUGUAGGCGGAUGUUCCAGGUAAAUCCGGAACGUUACUAACGCUGAGGUGUGAUGACGAGGCACUACGGUGCUGAAGUGACAAAUGCCCUGCUUCCAGGAAAAGCCUCUAAGCAUCAGGUAACAUCAAAUCGUACCCCAAACCGACACAGGUGGUCAGGUAGAGAAUACCAAGGCGCUUGAGAGAACUCGGGUGAAGGAACUAGGCAAAAUGGUGCCGUAACUUCGGGAGAAGGCACGCUGAUGGUAGGUGAAGUGACUUGCUCAUGGAGCUGAAAUCAGUCGAAGAUACCAGCUGGCUGCAACUGUUUAUUAAAAACACAGCACUGUGCAAACACGAAAGUGGACGUAUACGGUGUGACGCCUGCCCGGUGCCGGAAGGUUAAUUGAUGGGGUUAUCCGUAAGGAGAAGCUCUUGAUCGAAGCCCCGGUAAACGGCGGCCGUAACUAUAACGGUCCUAAGGUAGCGAAAUUCCUUGUCGGGUAAGUUCCGACCUGCACGAAUGGCGUAAUGAUGGCCAGGCUGUCUCCACCCGAGACUCAGUGAAAUUGAACUCGCUGUGAAGAUGCAGUGUACCCGCGGCAAGACGGAAAGACCCCGUGAACCUUUACUAUAGCUUGACACUGAACACUGGUCCUUGAUGUGUAGGAUAGGUGGGAGGCUUUGAAGUGUGGACGCCAGUCUGCAUGGAGCCAUCCUUGAAAUACCACCCUUUAAUGGCUGGUGUUCUAACGUGGGCCCGUAAUCCGGGUUGCGGACAGUGUCUGGUGGGUAGUUUGACUGGGGCGGUCUCCUCCUAAAGAGUAACGGAGGAGCACGAAGGUCAGCUAAUCCUGGUCGGACAUCAGGAGGUUAGUGCAAUGGCAUAAGCUGGCUUGACUGCGAGCGUGACGGCGCGAGCAGGUGCGAAAGCAGGUCAUAGUGAUCCGGUGGUUCUGAAUGGAAGGGCCAUCGCUCAACGGAUAAAAGGUACUCCGGGGAUAACAGGCUGAUACCGCCCAAGAGUUCAUAUCGACGGCGGGGUUUGGCACCUCGAUGUCGGCUCAUCACAUCCUGGGGCUGAAGUAGGUCCCAAGGGUAUGGCUGUUCGCCAUUUAAAGUGGUACGCGAGCUGGGUUUAGAACGUCGUGAGACAGUUCGGUCCCUAUCUGCCGUGGGCGCUGGAGAAUUGAGGGGGGCUGCUCCUAGUACGAGAGGACCGGAGUGGACGCAUCACUGGUGUUCGGGUUGUCAUGCCAAUGGCAUUGCCCGGUAGCUAAAUGCGGAAGAGAUAAGUGCUGAAAGCAUCUAAGCACGAAACUUGCCCCGAGAUGAGUUCUCCCUGACUCCUUGAGAGUCCUGAAGGAACGUUGAAGACGACGACGUUGAUAGGCCGGGUGUGUAAGCGCAGCGAUGCGUUGAGCUAACCGGUACUAAUGAACCGUGAGGCUUAACCUU